CCGCCCCAAUUUUUUUUAUUUAACAAAAAUACGAUUUUCCGGAUUUUGUUCAUGUCCGUUACUGGGAACCAUCGAUAAUUUUGUUUCAUUCAAAACUUCCUGUUUCAAAUUUCGUUUUUGUAUUGAAUCGAGUAACUUCUAACGAAAAUGAUUAAGUCGACAUAUUCUGCUGCUCUAUGAUGACAACAUCAUAUACCGAGAAUAGAGAUUGAUAACGAGAAGGGCAUGAAUUAUUUGAGUUUAUACGAGUAAAAUGCCUUGUCCUUGAACGCAAAUUGCGGUAGUCACAAGUGAAUCGAAAACCGUGUUUUUUUCUUUAUUUGUACAAUGACUUUGUGUCAGGAAAUUUGGACUUUGAAUGAUAUCCAAAGCGCAAGAAUCGUAGAACAAAUUGGUUCAAAAACAUGACUGGAUUAAAGAAAUUGACGCAAGCACGAACUUGUUUAAAUUAUGACCGUAUAUUGAGAGAAAAAAGUCGACAAACACGC
rnacentral:lncRNA from 1 species